GAGGAAUAUUGGUCAAUGGGCGCAGGCCUGAACCAGCCAAGUAGCGUGAAGGAUGACUGCCCUAUGGGUUGUAAACUUCUUUUAUAUGGGAAUAAAGUUUUCCACGUGUGGAAUUUUGUAUGUACCAUAUGAAUAAGGAUCGGCUAACUCCGUGCCAGCAGCCGCGGUAAUACGGAGGAUCCGAGCGUUAUCCGGAUUUAUUGGGUUUAAAGGGAGCGUAGGUGGACAGUUAAGUCAGUUGUGAAAGUUUGCGGCUCAACCGUAAAAUUGCAGUUGAUACUGGCUGUCUUGAGUACAGUAGAGGUGGGCGGAAUUCGUGGUGUAGCGGUGAAAUGCUUAGAUAUCACGAAGAACUCCGAUUGCGAAGGCAGCUCACUGGACUGCAACUGACACUGAUGCUCGAAAGUGUGGGUAUCAAACAGGAUUAGAUACCCUGGUAGUCCACACAGUAAACGAUGAAUACUCGCUGUUUGCGAUAUACAGUAAGCGGCCAAGCGAAAGCGUUAAGUAUUCCACCUGGGGAGUACGCCGGCAACGGUGAAACUCAAAGGAAUUGACGGGGGCCCGCACAAGCGGAGGAACAUGUGGUUUAAUUCGAUGAUACGCGAGGAACCUUACCCGGGCUUGAAUUGCAACUGAAUGAUGUGGAGACAUGUCAGCCGCAAGGCAGUUGUGAAGGUGCUGCAUGGUUGUCGUCAGCUCGUGCCGUGAGGUGUCGGCUUAAGUGCCAUAACGAGCGCAACCCUUAUCGAUAGUUACCAUCAGGUUAUGCUGGGGACUCUGUCGAGACUGCCGUCGUAAGAUGUGAGGAAGGUGGGGAUGACGUCAAAUCAGCACGGCCCUUACGUCCGGGGCUACACACGUGUUACAAUGGGGGGUACAGAAGGCAGCUACACGGCGACGUGAUGCUAAUCCCGAAAGCCUCUCUCAGUUCGGAUUGGAGUCUGCAACCCGACUCCAUGAAGCUGGAUUCGCUAGUAAUCGCGCAUCAGCCACGGCGCGGUGAAUACGUUCCCG
rnacentral:rRNA from 1 species